CCACUGCAGCCACAUGCACAUCAGACCUGAUCCUGAUCCUGCACAGGCACAAUUAUCAAAAACGAAACGAGGACAAAUAAAUGCUUUGUUUCCCCACAAACGUUACCACUCAAAAGCCCCUAUUGGCUUGCAGUCCUGCCUUAACGCACAGCGGAGUGUCACAUUCGCCAUGCAGUAGUGCGGAGAUAUUGGGGACAGCCUGCCCUGCGCAGCGGAUGAAAGAGAUGAAAAGCUUUCGCUGGGAUGUGCAUAAUCCCGUCCUCACGACAGUCGUCAGACCACCUCGUAGAUUAUAACUCGACCGAGGAUCACUUUCUAGGCUAUUUCAAUUAAAUGGAGAGCGGCGGUGACACGCACAGUUCUUCAGCCGCACUCAUCCUGACAAUUUCUGAAGCGCCCCAAACAACACUCAGCAGCAGCAGCUGGUGAGAAUAACCCUAAAAUGCCGCUUCUUUCCGCUCGCUUUCUGAGCCUAUUGCGCGGUGGACGCACUAGGAGGAGACUUGAAGCUGACAAGCAACAAGCACAUGGUGCGUUUUAUUAUGAUCAAUGAAUCAAAAGAAAAAAGGCCCUGAAACAAUCACUGCCUCACCAGACCUGGACCCAGCCGGUGGCAGGCAAGCCAUGCAGCCCUGAGUUUGGGGCUCAGACUGUGGCUGGAAGAGGGAGUGAGCCUGGAGCUGAGAUUGAGGCUAAGACUCAGGCUGGAGCUGGGGCUUUGGCCCAGCUGUGACGGGGACAGUCUGAGGGAAAUCAGUCUUGCAAGAACCACCAAACAGGAGCUUAUGACUUUCUCCUCUCCUUGACAGAGAUGUGGAUCAAAACAGGAAGAGCUGCCGAAUGUCGCAUUCCCGACCGGACUUGCUUUGAAAAAUUGGCAGUAAGACUGGUUUUGAAUUCAGCCACAGGCACAAACAAUUCGGUCAACAAGUGAAAUCAUGGACAGACAGACUGGCGAUCUCAGCAGCAUUAAGGCUACCUGACAUGCUGCUGAAACCACAAUGGAAGGAGGAGGCGAUAUGCCAGUGUUUCCCCCACUUCACUGCGUGUUACAGAGCAGAUAUCUCUCCACCUGUUCUCUCUCCACUUGUCCAUGCCAGGCCAGUGUCAGAGUCGCGUACCAUUCACCGAAAGUGAAGCUGAUUUCUGGAGGGGUGGCAGAGGGCUGACCCAAGUGUGGUAUAAGUAAGAGGGUGCUUUUAGUUUUGUUAGAGGAGUAUAGAUUUUUAAAGUGCUCCAAUUAUGAAAAUUAUGAUUAUCAUUCUGUACAUGAAUAACAAACUGCAAUACAUCCGGUGAAAUUUCCUGUAUUUUUUCAUAUCGCAAUAUAUACUGCAGAAAAAAACACAAUAUCGUAAUUUUGCAGCACUAGUAAAGAUUCUUUUGUAAUGUUUAUUUUUUGCAAUUUAUUGUAUGUAAACAGAAAUGCUAUGUGGUAGUGGCAGUGGUUCCCAGUCUUCUUGACUUGUACCUCUUUAAAACAAAGUCAUUUCUACACACAAUCCCAUGUCACAGGUUGCAAAUAACUUGCAAGCAGUUCUACCACAGAGGGUUUUUCACAUAUUGUUUGAUACUAGUAUCGCCAUAUAUUGGCAAUACUCUCACGUCUCCUGCUACUAUCUAGCAUCACAACAACAGCAUGUUUUGGAAAACUAGAACGUAAGCCGAAUGUCCAUGAGCAAGUAAUGUAACAUUACAUGACACAAAAAAUCCCAGAAUAGCUUGAAUAACAAGUUAAUGUUGUGUGGCUCGGUCCACUCUGUUUGUUUCCCAUUUAAAAAGCAAGGGCGGUGUACAAUCAUCAGCUUUUUUUAUUUUUAGCGCACACACAGAGUGAAAAGCUAGCAAACCAUCAGGAGUUAUUUUCUGAAUUUGAACAAAAAGUUUAUUGGAUUAGAAUCACAUUACCUAGACUCCGCACUCCACCUUUAAUGAACAGAAUGUUGCAUUUUAAUAGCUUAUCCUUUAAUGUCACAGUACCCUUUAAGUUAUUUACAGGAUUAUUUUCCAAGUUAUUUUGAAUAUGGAAAUGUCUUGUCUAUACAAUUUGCUUGGGGGUAAUGCACCUUGUGGGAUCAUUUGAAUUUCUAGCCAUGAACCCAGUGACCCAGUCGUCACCUUGUGUUCUGAACACACAGUCCUGUCACACUGGUGAGGUGUCCCAGAGGAGAGUGGCAUGUGUAUUUGUGUUUCUGUGAAUCAUAAACGCUGUUUUGUAUUCAUUGAGGUGUGUCAAAGCGGAUUACCUGCAUGAAUGGGGACCUGAAACGACUUUGUUUUCAAAGACUGUCCUUUGGGGUGAGGUAGUAGGUUGUAUAGUUUUAGGGUCAUACCCUUCCUGUCAGAUAACUAUACAACUUACUGUCUUUCCUGAAGUGGCUGUAAUGUCAUCAGAUGUCAUUGUUGAAGCUUUUGGAUCUGGAUCAACACUGGAAUGUGCACGUUUACCCGCUAAGAUAACAUAACUCAUUUGCAGCAUUUGAUCGAGGUAGGUCUUUGUAGUUGCUUUGGGUAGUUUUCCAUCUCGUGAUUUUAAUGGUUGCACUUUAAGACUUUGUGGUCAAUAAAACCUAUUCUUAAAUAUUAUACAAUAUAUUGUCUUCAUAUCUCAUCAGACACUGUAUAUUGUAUAACCUUUUACACAAACCUGCUCUCAUUUAAUUGUCUUUCCUUAGCUCUUAUUUCUGUUUUUGUUUUUUUAUAUAUGAUAAUAACAGUAGUUUAGGAUUUUUGUCAGAGCUCCAUGGCUUCCAAGUCCAAUCGACUUCAAUUAUAUGAAGUGUGAACGUCUUCAAAAUCUAAAAAGGUUUGAGGAUGUAUUUAUUACGUAUAAGACAAUGGACAGUGUAUAUACAUCACUCCACCAUAAUAGAUCUUCAGUACAUGUUACACCAAAGCUUGCCAACAUGUAGGACCUUUCUGAUGUUCGAACGGGGUGAGGUAGUAGGUUGUGUGGUUUCAGGGUAGUGAUUUUGCCCAAUCAGGAGAUAACUAUACAACCUACUGCCUUCCCUGGAGGGCAGCAAUACUUCACCAUAGAGACAACAGGGACCAUCUUGCUCACAGAAAAACUUCCAGAAUCAAUGAACCCAACCAGGUCAACUAUCUGGCCCUGAGCCACCGGUCCGCUUCUUACCUGGAACGUGGGCGUCCACAGUUAAUCGUGGCAGCAGAGAGGACCAGCAGGUAAAGUCUGUUCGGUAUGGAAUUUGUCUUGGAGUUUUUUUCUUCUGCUUCAAACAUAAAUAAAAAAAUAAGAUGAUGAA